rnacentral:rRNA from 1 species
AUUGAACGCUGGCGGCAUGCUUUACACAUGCGAGUCGAACGGCAGCGCGGGCUUCGGCCUGGCGGCGAGUGGCGAACGGGUGAGUAAUGCAUCGGAACGUGCCCAGUAGUGGGGGAUAGCCCGGCGAAAGCCGGAUUAAUACCGCAUACGACCUGAGGGUGAAAGCGGGGGACCGAAAGGCCUCGCGCUAUUGGAGCGGCCGAUGUCGGAUUAGCUAGUUGGUGGGGUAAAGGCUUACCAAGGCGACGAUCCGUAGCUGGUCUGAGAGGACGACCAGCCACACUGGGACUGAGACACGGCCCAGACUCCUACGGGAGGCAGCAGUGGGGAAUUUUGGACAAUGGGGCAACCCUGAUCCAGCCAUGCCGCGUGCGGGAAGAAGGCCUUCGGGUUGUAAACCGCUUUUGUUCGGGAAGAAAUCCUCUGGGCUAAUACCCCGGGGGGAUGACGGUACCGGAAGAAUAAGCACCGGCUAACUACGUG